GCAGUGCACCUGCCAUUUAAUUACCUUAAGGAAAUGCCUUCUGUAUACUACUCCUGAGUUUGCCUUUGAUUGUUUAUUUAAGAUGCUUUUUAUGUUCUUUAGUCCUUACAAGAAAAAACAGCUUUACAGUUGCAGAUGUUGGAUGAGGGCAGCUCAGAAACAGCUACCAAUUCAACUGUAACUCUCAAAACCAAAGUGGAUGCAAGUCUUGUGACAAAAAGAGCAGAAAAUAAAGUUCAGCAUCUGGAGCUGAAGAUACCAGAGCCAAGGAGUCUGGACAGUCAACAGCAACCAUCUAGUUUUGGAGAAAGCUAUAAAAAGCAGUUGGAACAGGUUAAACUAAAGUGUGUUAAUGCCAGAAAAAAAAUGCCAACUCAAGAAGUGUCACAGGAAAGCUGCUAUGGAGAGGGAAAACAAACAAACCUUGAACAGUCUGGUCAUCCUGUUUCAAGUCGAUUAUCACCAUCAGAUGCUGUUUUGAAGAAAAAUCACCCAUCACACAUUUAUGGAACACCAAGCACC
rnacentral:lncRNA from 1 species